rnacentral:rRNA from 1 species
CAUGUCUAAAAGUAUAAGCAAUUAUACCGCGAAACUGCGAAUGGCUCAUUAAAUCAGUUAUCGUUUAUUUGAUAGUACCUUACUACUUGGAUAACCGUGGUAAUUCUAGAGCUAAUACAUGCUAAAAACCCCGACUCCGGAAGGGGUGUAUUUAUUAGAUUAAAAACCAAUGCCCUUCGGGGCUUUCUGGUGAUUCAUAAUAACUUCUCGAAUCGCAUGGCCUUGCGCCGGCGAUGGUUCAUUCAAAUUUCUGCCCUAUCAACUUUCGAUGGUAGGGUAUUGGCCUGCCAUGGUUACAACGGGUAACGGAGGGUUAGGGCUCGACCCCGGAGAAGGAGCCUGAGAAACGGCUACUACAUCCAAGGAAGGCAGCAGGCGCGCAAAUUACCCAAUCCCGAUUCGGGGAGGUAGUGACAAUAAAUACUGAUACAGGGCUCUUUUGGGUCUUGUAAUUGGAAUGAGUACAAUUUAAAUCCCUUAACGAGGAACAAUUGGAGGGCAAGUCUGGUGCCAGCAGCCGCGGUAAUUCCAGCUCCAAUAGCGUAUAUUAAAGUUGUUGCAGUUAAAAAGCUCGUAGUUGAACCUUGGGCCUGGCUGGCCGGUCCGCCUCACCGCGUGCACUGGUUCGGCCGGGCCUUUCCCUCUGGGGAGCCGCAUGCUCUUCACUGAGUGUGUCGGGGAACCAGGACUUUUACUGUGAAAAAAUUAGAGUGUUCAAAGCAGGCCUAUGCUCGAAUACAUUAGCAUGGAAUAAUAGAAUAGGACGUGCGGUUCUAUUUUGUUGGUUUCUAGGACCGCCGUAAUGAUUAAUAGGGACAGUCGGGGGCAUCAGUAUUCAAUUGUCAGAGGUGAAAUUCUUGGAUUUAUUGAAGACUAACUACUGCGAAAGCAUUUGCCAAGGAUGUUUUCAUUAAUCAGUGAACGAAAGUUAGGGGAUCGAAGACGAUCAAAUACCGUCGUAAUCUUAACCAUAAACUAUGCCGACUAGGAAUCGGACGAUGGUUAUUUUUUUGACUCGUUCGGCACCUUACGAAAAAUCAAAGUCUUUGGGUUUCGGGGAGGGGUAUGGUCG